rnacentral:tRNA from 1 species
AUUCAAAUAGCUUAAUUAAGAGCAUAAUAUUGAAGAUAUUAGGGUAACAUAAUGUUUUUG